rnacentral:hammerhead_ribozyme from 1 species
AUCCAGCUGACGAGUCCUAAAUAGAACGAAACGUCCGUCGUGUAU